GACGAACGCUGGCGGCGUGCGUAAUACAUGCAAGUAGAACGCUGAAGGAGGAGCUUGCUUCUCUGGAUGAGUUGCGAACGGGUGAGUAACGCGUAGGUAACCUGCCUGGUAGCGGGGGAUAACUAUUGGAAACGAUAGCUAAUACCGCAUAAGAGUAGAUGUUGCAUGACAUUUGCUUAAAAGGUGCAAUUGCAUCACUACCAGAUGGACCUGCGUUGUAUUAGCUAGUUGGUGGGGUAACGGCUCACCAAGGCGACGAUACAUAGCCGACCUGAGAGGGUGAUCGGCCACACUGGGACUGAGACACGGCCCAGACUCCUACGGGAGGCAGCAGUAGGGAAUCUUCGGCAAUGGACGGAAGUCUGACCGAGCAACGCCGCGUGAGUGAAGAAGGUUUUCGGAUCGUAAAGCUCUGUUGUAAGAGAAGAACGAGUGUGAGAGUGGAAAGUUCACACUGUGACGGUAUCUUACCAGAAAGGGACGGCUAACUACGUGCCAGCAGCCGCGGUAAUACGUAGGUGGCAAGCGUUAUCCGGAUUUAUUGGGCGUAAAGAGAGUGCAGGCGGUUUUCUAAGUCUGAUGUGAAAGCCUUCGGCUUAACCGGAGAAGUGCAUCGGAAACUGGAUAACUUGAGUGCAGAAGAGGGUAGUGGAACUCCAUGUGUAGCGGUGGAAUGCGUAGAUAUAUGGAAGAACACCAGUGGCGAAGGCGGCUACCUGGUCUGCAACUGACGCUGAGACUCGAAAGCAUGGGUAGCGAACAGG
rnacentral:rRNA from 1 species